rnacentral:rRNA from 1 species
GCUGAGAACCACUGCCCUAAAAAUACCAGAUUCUGUUUGAUCUUGGAAGCUAAAGAUGGACAGCCCAGGUUAGUACCUGGAUGGGAGAUUAAUGAAUACCAGGUGCUGUAGGCU